AGUCACACGUUGAGAUAAAAGGUCUAAACUCCGUACAAUCUGCGCAUGCGAAAGAAACGUCAAAGUUCAGUUGCAAUUUGUUAUUAAUUAAAAUGUAGGUUAGGUUAUUGUUUUCAUCACAGGCUAUUAUAAUGAAUAAACAUAUUCGUAAUGUACAUUUAAACUAGCAGACUUUUGAGGUUGUUAUACCAAGAGCCAUGUUUCGCUGCAGCAGUAUAAAAUCCGAAAAGGACAGUAUAAGCCCCAUGCUCACAAAUCGUAACCCAAGACAUUUCAAAUACCUACGAAUCGCUCAUAAACCGGAGGGCUGCUACGGUGAUAAAACUGGAACGCUCCUACUGGCAUAAAUAUACAAAUUUGCUUUCCUACCGCCUCCAAUAAGACAGCCCGAUUGUAGAUGACAACUGACACAAACAGGCCGUUACAUAACUUCAUUGUUCGUGCAUUACAUCAAUGGACCCGACGCUCACCGCUAGCACGAAGGAAUGGGCCAUCAAAACCAGGCUGUAUAAGACCAUGUACCAAGUCGUUGGCGUUUCAGUUCUUCGUACAAAGAUGCCUUGCAAGCGGUCCGACAGAGUUUAUGUGCGAUUGCAAACCCAAACACAACGUCAGUAAGGUUGCAAAGUUUCUAAUGUGCUCCAAGAUUUCAAUUUCAAAUUGUCUGAGCCGGAAUAGUCAAGAGAGCCGUGGACGAGAGAAAGAUUACCAAAACCGUGGGAUAUAAUCUGACUUGACAGAUAAUGUGAAUCGACCUUAAAUUGUGUACCUAUUAGUUUCUGUAAAGAGAAAGCCGAGUAUUGGGUCGCUCCAAUGAAGUGAUAGAAAGCCCUACGUUCAGUCUCUCGAGAUGCUUCCCUGUUUCUAACUCAAAGGUUCUUCCAAAGAAGUUAUAGUGAAUUGGCUCGGAAUUGGCAAUUUCAAAUUGAAAUCUUGGAGCACAUUAGAAACUUUGCGACCUUACUGACGUUGUGUUCGGGUUUGCAAUCGCACAUAAACUCUGUCGGACCGCUUGCAAGGCAUCUUUGUACGAAGAACUGAAACCUACAAGUAGCAAACAUUAAAUUGAAUGCAGGGACGUGACCGUGUAACGUUCACGUACGCCAACGAC